AGAGGCGUAGCUCAGUUGGUUAGAGCGCCACACUGAUAAUGUGGAGGUCCGCGGUUCAACUCCGCGCGUCUCUACCA
rnacentral:tRNA from 1 species